UACGGAGGGUGCGAGCGUUGUCCGGAAUCACUGGGCGUAAAGGGCGCGUAGGCGGGCUGCCAAGUCUGGGGUGAAAUCCCACGGCUCAACCGUGGAACUGCCUCGGAUACUGGCGGCCUCGAGGGAGGUAGGGGCAUGCGGAACUAUGCGUGGAGCGGUGAAAUGCGUUGAUAUGCAUAGGAACUCCGGUGGCGAAGGCGGCGUGCUGGACCUCUUCUGACGCUGAGGCGCGAAAGCCAGGGGAGCGAACGGG
rnacentral:rRNA from 1 species